rnacentral:rRNA from 1 species
CAGCCGCCGCGGUAAUACCGAGGGUGCGAGCGUUAAUCGGAUUUACUGGGCGUAAAGCGUGCGUAGGCGGCUUUUUAAGUCGGAUGUGAAAUCCCUGAGCUUAACUUAGGAAUUGCAUUCGAUACUGGGAAGCUAGAGUAUGGGAGAGGAUGGUAGAAUUCCAGGUGUAGCGGUGAAAUGCGUAGAGAUCUGGAGGAAUACCGAUGGCGAAGGCAGCCAUCUGGCCUAAUACUGACGCUGAGGUACGAAAGCAUGGGGAGCAAACAGGAUUAGAUACCCCAGUAGUCCCUGUCUCUUAUAC